UACGGAGGGUGCAAGCGUUGUUCGGAAUUAUUGGGCGUAAAGGGCAGGUAGGUGGUCUUGUAAGUCUGCUGUGAAAUCCCCGAGCUUAACUUGGGAAGUGCGGCAGAUACUGCAAGACUAGAGUGCUGGAGGGGUUCGUGGAAGUUCCCGGUGUAGCGGUGAAAUGCGUAGAUAUCGGGAGGAACAUCAGUGGCGAAGGCG
rnacentral:rRNA from 1 species